GUGAACGCUGGCGGUAGGCCUAACACAUGCAAGUCGAACGGCAGCACAGUAAGAGCUUGCUCUUACGGGUGGCGAGUGGCGGACGGGUGAGGAAUACAUCGGAAUCUACUUUUUCGUGGGGGAUAACGUAGGGAAACUUACGCUAAUACCGCAUACGACCUACGGGUGAAAGCAGGGGAUCUUCGGACCUUGCGCGAUUGAAUGAGCCGAUGUCGGAUUAGCUAGUUGGCGGGGUAAAGGCCCACCAAGGCGACGAUCCGUAGCUGGUCUGAGAGGAUGAUCAGCCACACUGGAACUGAGACACGGUCCAGACUCCUACGGGAGGCAGCAGUGGGGAAUAUUGGACAAUGGGUGCAAGCCUGAUCCAGCCAUACCGCGUGGGUGAAGAAGGCCUUCGGGUUGUAAAGCCCUUUGUUGGGAAAGAAAAGCAGCAGGUUAAUACCCCGCUGUUCUGACGGUACCCAAAGAAUAAGCACCGGCUAACUUCGUG
rnacentral:rRNA from 1 species